UACAGAGACUGCAAGCGUUAUUCGGAUUCACUGGGCGUAAAGGGUGCGCAGGCGGUUGGGUGUGUCAGAUGUGAAAUCCCGAGGCUCAACCUCGGAACUGCGUCUGAAACUACUCGACUAGAGUACUGGAGAGGGUAACGGAAUUCACGGUGUAGCAGUGAAAUGCGUAGAUAUCGGGAGGAACACCGGUGGCGAAGGCGGCGACCUGGGUAGAUACUGACGCUGAGGUGCGAAAGCGUGGGGAGCAAACAGG
rnacentral:rRNA from 1 species